AGCGCACGGCUGAGCGAAAAGCCAGGAGCGAAAAUAAAGCGGGAGAAGUCUCAAGGCUAAUCCGGCUGCCGGCGGCGUCUGCCCCGGAGGAAAAUCGUUCCGGUGAGGCCGGUCCCGCCGCUGCUGCGCUGCCGGGCGGUUAUUUUUAACCCCGGCUGGAGGAGGCUCCUCAGGUAGCGAGCGGCUGCCGGGCAGCCCCGCGCCUCCCCCCCCCCCGCAGAAGCCCCCCGUGAUGCUGAGAGAGCUGACACGGCACCCGCCGCAGGAUCAGGACAGGCUGACACCCAGGUGGCACCAGCGACAGCCACCCCAGCAGGGAUCUGGACAGGAUCGUCGCUUGCUGCUUGUUUCGAAGGCUUGGGAGCGGGGCUUCAGUGUUACAUAAAUUCUGCGCUGCCUCUGCUCGGGGGGAUUUGGCCAGGGAGCCACAGCCAGAAGAAUCCUCAAAUGACAAAAAGUUAGGUCAACUUAUAAAGCAGAAAAACAGAAGAAGUCACAUCAAACAAUGAUGCACAGAAAAACUUCAGCACAUUUUCAAAGAGCCUGAAUUUGAAGAAGACAACAAACCCCAAAUUAUUUCCAUCAAAUACUUCCAUAUUCAUAUAAGGUAAACUUGCCUCUCUGAUGACUAAAAUAUUUUAGGAAGAAAAUACGUUCUGAUUAUCAUCUUCAGGGCAUUUUCAGUGACGUUUUAUGGCAGUGGUUUAAAAUAAAAAUCUUAGUCAUUCAACAUUUUAACUGAAAGCAACAUAUUAUGCAAGCAGUUUAUCAAACCCGUUGAGAUACCUGCCUCAUAGUAAUCCAACAAUAAAUAAUGACAGCAUUUAAAGAGAUUUUCAUCAUUAGUACUGUCAGAUCUGAUUGAAAUGUUAUGAAUGUUAAGGUUAAGUAUAUGAAGGCAAUAAAAAUUUAGAUGAA